CCUACGGGAGGCUGCAGUGGGGAAUAUUGGACAAUGGGGGCAACCCUGAUCCAGCCAUGCCGCGUGUGUGAAGAAGGCCCUCGGGUUGUAAAGCACUUUCAGUGAGGAAGAACGCCUGGUGGUUAAUACCCAUCAGGAAAGACAUCACUCACAGAAGAAGCACCGGCUAACUCCGUGCCAGCAGCCGCGGUAAUACGGAGGGUGCGAGCGUUAAUCGGAAUUACUGGGCGUAAAGCGCGCGUAGGUGGCUUGAUAAGCCGGUUGUGAAAGCCCCGGGCUCAACCUGGGAACGGCAUCCGGAACUGUCAAGCUAGAGUGCAGGAGAGGAAGGUAGAAUUCCCGGUGUAGCGGUGAAAUGCGUAGAGACCGGGAGGAAUACCAGUGGCGAAGGCGGCCUUCUGGACUGACACUGACACUGAGGUGCGAAAGCGUGGGUAGCAAACAGGAUUAGAUACCCUUGUAGUC
rnacentral:rRNA from 1 species